GUCGAGCGGCGGACGGGUGAGUAAUGCCUAGGAAAUUGCCCUGAUGUGGGGGAUAACCAUUGGAAACGAUGGCUAAUACCGCAUGAUGCCUACGGGCCAAAGAGGGGGACCUUCGGGCCUCUCGCGUCAGGAUAUGCCUAGGUGGGAUUAGCUAGUUGGUGAGGUAAGGGCUCACCAAGGCGACGAUCCCUAGCUGGUCUGAGAGGAUGAUCAGCCACACUGGAACUGAGACACGGUCCAGACUCCUACGGGAGGCAGCAGUGGGGAAUAUUGCACAAUGGGCGCAAGCCUGAUGCAGCCAUGCCGCGUGUGUGAAGAAGGCCUUCGGGUUGUAAAGCACUUUCAGUCGUGAGGAAGGUGGUGUAGUUAAUAGCUGAAUCAUUUGACGUUAGCGACAGAAGAAGCACCGGCUAACUCCGUGCCAGCAGCCGCGGUAAUACGGAGGGUGCGAGCGUUAAUCGGAAUUACUGGGCGUAAAGCGCAUGCAGGUGGUUUGUUAAGUCAGAUGUGAAAGCCCGGGGCUCAACCUCGGAAUAGCAUUUGAAACUGGCAGACUAGAGUACUGUAGAGGGGGGUAGAAUUUCAGGUGUAGCGGUGAAAUGCGUAGAGAUCUGAAGGAAUACCGGUGGCGAAGGCGGCCCCCUGGACAGAUACUGACACUCAGAUGCGAAAGCGUGGGGAGCAAACAGGAUUAGAUACCCUGGUAGUCCACGCCGUAAACGAUGUCUACUUGGAGGUUGUGGCCUUGAGCCGUGGCUUUCGGAGCUAACGCGUUAAGUAGACCGCCUGGGGAGUACGGUCGCAAGAUUAAAACUCAAAUGAAUUGACGGGGGCCCGCACAAGCGGUGGAGCAUGUGGUUUAAUUCGAUGCAACGCGAAGAACCUUACCUACUCUUGACAUCCAGAGAACUUUCCAGAGAUGGAUUGGUGCCUUCGGGAACUCUGAGACAGGUGCUGCAUGGCUGUCGUCAGCUCGUGUUGUGAAAUGUUGGGUUAAGUCCCGCAACGAGCGCAACCCUUAUCCUUGUUUGCCAGCGAGUAAUGUCGGGAACUCCAGGGAGACUGCCGGUGAUAAACCGGAGGAAGGUGGGGACGACGUCAAGUCAUCAUGGCCCUUACGAGUAGGGCUACACACGUGCUACAAUGGCGCAUACAGAGGGCGGCCAACUUGCGAAAGUGAGCGAAUCCCAAAAAGUGCGUCGUAGUCCGGAUUGGAGUCUGCAACUCGACUCCAUGAAGUCGGAAUCGCUAGUAAUCGUGGAUCAGAAUGCCACGGUGAAUACGUUCCCGGGCCUUGUACACACCGCCCGUCACACCAUGGGAGUGGGCUGCAAAAGAAGUAGGUAGUUUAACCUUCGGGGGGACGC
rnacentral:rRNA from 1 species